GGGAAACUGGGGCUAAUGCUUGAUAGACGAAAACGCCUGGAAUGGUCUUUCGUCUAAAAGUUUUUGGAAACAUGCUUCUGAAAAUGCCUAAGGAUGAGACUGCGGCCGAUCAGGCUGUUGGUGAGGUAACGGCUCACCAAACCUAUUACCGGUACGGGCUCUGAAAGGAGUAGCCCGGAGAUGGGAACUGAGACAAGGUCCCAGGCCCUACGGGACGCAGCAGGCGCGAAAACUCCACAAUGCGCGAAAGCGUGAUGGGGUUACCCCGAGUGCCAUCCGUUGAGGAUAGCUUUUCACUAGUGUAAGGAGCUAGUGGAAUAAAGGGGGGGCAAGUCUGGUGUCAGCCGCCGCGGUAAUACCAGCCCCCUGAGUGAUAGGGACGAUUAUUUAGCCUAAAGCGUCCGUAGCCCGGCUUUGUAAGUCUUUUCGUUAAAUCUGACGACUUAAUCGCCAGACUGCGGAAGAUACUGCUAAGCUAGAGGGUGGGAGAGGUCGACGGUAGUCCUUGGGGUAGGGGUGAAAUCCUAUAAUCCAGGGAGGACCACCAGUGGGCGAAGGCCGGUCAACUAGAACAUGCCCUGACGGUGAGGACGAAAGCUGGGGGAGCGGACCCGGAAUUAGACACCCGGGUAGUCCCAGCUGUAAACGAUGCGGCUAGGUGUUGGUGCCACAACGUGCUUGUUCAGUGCCGCAGAAAAGUUUUUAAGGCCCACGCGUUGGAAGUCCCGCCGCAAGGCUGAAACUA
rnacentral:rRNA from 1 species